AGGUGUGCUAGGGAAUAAAUGAAAUGCCUGGGACAUCAUCGUUAAGUGGCAUCUGAUGCAUAAGCAGUGCCCUAGGAAUGGGGUUGCCUGCCUUGGUCUCUAAAGGAUGGGUUCAAAAGGCAAGAGCAGCACACAAGAAGAUAGCUUCAAGCAGGAGAUAAAGCUUGGCCCAGGGCCCAAAGGGGAUACGACCCUUCAGCAAACUGACAUGCUGAAAGCUGCCCUAUGGAGAGGCUCAUGUGGCAAGGAACAGAGGGUGGCUUCUGGCCAACACCCAGUGAGGAACUCAGGCCCUCAGUCAAACAGCCUGCAAGGAACUGAACCCUGCCAAUAACCCAGCUGGGUUGAAAGCUUCCCUUUGGAGAAGAACUGAGGGCUGUCUCUGGUCAAUAGCACUGAGGAACUGAAUCCAGCAAACAAUUAUGUGAAGAAACUUGGAAGCUUGUCCUCCCCUCUAGUUGAGCUUUGAGAUGACUGCCGCCCUAGUGGACACCUUGAUU
rnacentral:lncRNA from 1 species